GAAAAGGACCGUGCUAAAAGCAAGGUAGGGUGCAUUGCCAAACUAAUUCUGUGUUUGCUUUAUUAGAAUGAAGUAGAUAACAAUGCCUUCCCAUCCAAUUUCUAUGUGCUUGUUUUCUAAAGAGCUUGAUUCUUGGUACUUGUUAAACAACAUGAAUGUCGGUAAUUUGUUAGCUUUCUUGUUCAUAUGAUUGCACGCAUGUUUGUACCAGAAACACAUAGGAAGUCAUGUUAUAGGACUUAUCAUUAAUCUUUUUCUUUGGGUGGGUGUUAUGUAAUUGGGAUAAAUUGAUACUGAUAUAUGAUUAUGGGUGGCUCUUUUAGAGUUCAUUUCCUCCAAAUAUUAUGAGGUCAAAGUUUAUUCUCUUCUCCCUAGUGUUCUUGUAGGGUUUUGGAGCUUUCAAUUGGGUUUCUUAAUCUAAUAUGCUUUCUUUUUUCUUCCAAUUGUUAAAACUGUAUGUGUAAUGGUGUUUCCUUAUCCUGCUUAUUUUAAGUGAGCCCCAGCAGGUCUUGGGCCAAUAAAUAGGUUUAGCUCCAAUUUCAUAAUCCCCCCAAAGCUUUUACCAAUACCCCGCACCACACCACCCCCCCUCCCCCACCCCCAAAGCUUUUACCAAUAUUCCUAUUCCCAUCACAUUGGAAUUUGAUUGCAGGAUCUCUAAUCAGGGAACUCAAGUUCACACUGUUGAGGUAUUUUCACAAAAGAAAAAUGAAAUAUUUACUUCUAAGCCUGUCUGUUAAAUGCUUCAAAUCUCCUAGACACAAGUCAUGGUUCUUAACAUGUUUAUUUUGAAUACUUGGGCUUUUUGUGUUGCCUUUAUCAUUUCAUGUUAAGCCUAUGAGUGCCAGACCAUAGGCAAAGUAUACAAUCCACAAAAUAAAAUUUGUUUUUUUCAGGCUUUCAGCCCAUAUUAAUUUUUGAGUUCAAAUAAUUUUACAAAUAUAUUAUGUUUAUCUUAUUUCAUAUUUUCCCUUUUACACUUGUCUGUUUUUCCCUUUUCUUUUCACUUCCAUGUAUCUAUAACAAGAGAGGGAGUUUUAAUUUUUAAAGGUUUAAUGGAGAUUUUGAUUCGUCUAAUUGUUCAACUGUGUGUGUGUGUGUGUGUAUUAUUUAGAAGAGGUUCGCUUGCUUUCAAAAUUGCUGAUCCUACAGUAGAAUCCUGUAGUCAUCUUAUCCUAUUCCUAUGGAUGCCUGAUUCCAAAGACGACAGGAUCACUUAGUGAGUGAUCUUAGGAAUGUACAACACUGGAUCAAGAUUGGGAUUAUGAACAACAAUUACGACAAAUUUAUUUAUGAACAACAACAAUCAAUGUUGUUAAAGGCGACAAAAGGUGCGAGGUGAGGCCCGGGCGAGGUGAGGCAAGCCCCUGUUGCUUUGCUUGGCUGAGUUGAGGCAACUUGAAGGAGGCACACGCCUGAGACUAUUGAGCUGAGGGGUGCGGGGUGACCAAGGCGAUGCCUGAUUGAAGAAAUGUCCACUUUCCUCUUUUUUUUUUUU
rnacentral:misc_RNA from 1 species